rnacentral:tRNA from 1 species
UGGUGUAGCUCAGUUGGUAGAGCAGCUGAUUUGUAAUCAGCAGGUCGCGGGUUCGAAUCCAGUCACC